rnacentral:lncRNA from 1 species
GUAGUUAUUAGGGGAGACGGGCCUCGCAGGGGGGCCCUCUGGCCAUUUCCCUGGACCGCAGUUACUAGGGUGCUCUGUCUUUGUGUAGAGCAUUCUCUAGCAAAAUGUCCAGGAUGCAGUGACUUAUGAUGCUGUGCAUGUGAACUUUACUGGGGAAGAGUAGAAUUUGCUGGAUCCUUCCUAGAAGAGUCUCUACAAAGAUGUGAUGCAGGAAACCUACUUGGACCUCACUGUUAUAGGCCACACUUGGGAAGACUAUCAUAUUGAAGGACAUUGUCAAAGUUCCAGAAGACAUGAAAGGCAAUCUUCAUGUGCAAGCUGAUACACAUAGGCCUCUGAGGAAAUUUUAAUAUGUUCUGGAAGCUCUAAAGAAAAGCAAGAGUGCCGGGCAGUGGUGGAGGACACCUUUAAUCACAGCACUUGGGAGGAAGAAGCAGGCAGAUUUCUGAGUUCAAGACCAGCCUGGUCUACAGAACAUGUAAGACAUCGCAGAGGAGAGAAACCCUAUGAAUGUACUCAAUGUGGUAAAGCCUUUUCAUUUCCCAGUCAUCUCCAAUAUCAUAAAAGAAGACAUUCUGGAGAGAAGCCUUAUGAAUGUAAUCAAUGUGCUAAAGCCUUUGCAGAUCACACUGAGCUCCAAAGCCAUCAAAGAACACAUACUGGAGAGAAACCUUAAGAACACAAUCAAUGUGUAGAACCUAUUCACAAGGGAGACGUCUCCAAAGACAAAAGAAGACAUUCUGCAGAGAGACCUUAUGAAUAUAACCAAUGUGGUAAAAGCCUUUUCACAAAGUUCUUGUCUUUAAAAACAUAAAAGAACCCAUAUAGGACAGAAACUUUAUGAAUGUAAUCAAUGUGCUAAAGCUUUUGCAUAUCUCAGUAGUCUUCAAAACAUAAGCGAUCCCAUACUGGAAAGAAAUGUCAUGAAUGUAAUCAAUGUGUAAAGACCUUUUACAACUUUGUAGUCUCCAGUAGUAUAAAAAGAAUUUUUAAAAAAUCAGAUAC